AUUGAACGCUGGCGGCAUGCCUUACACAUGCAAGUCGAACGGUAACGGGCCUUCGGGUGCCGACGAGUGGCGCACGGGUGAGUAAUACAUCUGAACGUGCCCGAUCGUGGGGGAUAACGAGGCGAAAGCUUUGCUAAUACCGCAUACGAUCUACGGAUGAAAGCAGGGGACCGCAAGGCCUUGCGCGGACGGAGCGGCCGAUGGCAGAUUAGGUAGUUGGUGGGAUAAAAGCUUACCAAGCCGACGAUCUGUAGCUGGUCUGCGAGGAUGAUCAGCCACACUGGGACUGAGACACGGCCCAGACUCCUACGGGAGGCAGCAGUGGGGAAUUUUGGACAAUGGGCGCAAGCCUGAUCCAGCCAUGCCGCGUGCAGGAUGAAGGCCUUCGGGUUGUAAAAUGCUUUUGUACGGAACGAAAAGCCUUCUUUUAAUACAGGAGGGUCAUGACGGUACCGUAAGAAUAAGCACCGGCUAACUACGUG
rnacentral:rRNA from 1 species